AAUAAUGAAAAGAAUCAUAACUCAUGUUAAACGACGACAAUUUACAAUAUGGGAAAACUAUAAUUGCUGGAAACUUGACAUUUUUCUUCAUAUAACGUGAUGAAUCCUAUUUUAAUACACUUGCAGGCCCAGUCUUUAGAGGAAGCCCAAAAAGCAAGGGCUUCCGACCUUCAUAAAUAUAUAUUUGAUUCGACCAUCAAUG
rnacentral:lncRNA from 1 species